rnacentral:misc_RNA from 1 species
GAUGAAGAACGUAGCGAAAUGCGAUAAGUAAUGUGAAUUGCAGAAUUCAGUGAAUCAUCGAAUCUUUGAAUGCACAUUGCGCCCCUUGGUAUUCCAUGGGGCAUGCCUGUUCGAGCGUCAUUUGUACCUUCAAGCCUUGCUUGGUGUUGGGUGUUUGUCUCGCCUCUGCGCGCAGACUCGCCUCAAAACAAUUGGCAGCCGGCGUAUUGAUUUCGGAGCGCAGUACAUCUCGCGCUUUGCACUCAGAACGACGACGUCCAAAAGUACAUUUUUACACUCUUGACCUCGGAUCAGGUAGGGAUACCCGCUGAACUUAAGCAUAUCAAUAAGCGGAGGA